CAGCCGCCGCGGUAAUACGUAGGUGGCAAGCGUUGUCCGGAAUUAUUGGGUGUAAAGGGCUCGCAGGCGGUUUCUUAAGUCUGAUGUGAAAGCCCCCGGCUCAAUCGGGGAGGGUCAUUGGAAACUGGGAAACUUGAGCGCAGAAGAGGAGAGUGGAAUUCCACUUGUAGCGGUGAAAUGCGUAGAGAUGUGGAGGAACACCAGUGGCGAAGGCGACUCUCUGGUCCGUAACUGACACUGAGGAGCGAAAGCGUGGGGAGCGAACAGGAUUAGAUACCCCGGUAGUCCCUGUCUCUUAUAC
rnacentral:rRNA from 1 species